UAUAUCAGUCAUGCAUAGCAUUAUCAAUAAGCGGAGGAAAAGAAACUAACUAGGACUCCCUUAGUAACGGCGAGUGAAGCGGGAAGAGCUCAAAUUUGAAAUCUUCAAGGUUCUACCUUGACGAAUUGUAGUUUAUAGAAGUGUUUUCUGUUAGUAGAGUGGCAAAAGUUCUUUGGAAUAGGACAUCAUAGAGGGUGAGAAUCCCGUAUUUGGUCAUUCCUCCUAGCGUUGUGAUACACUUUCAACGAGUCGGAUUGUUUGGGGAUGCAGUCCAAAAUGGGUGGUAAAUUUCAUCUAAAGCUAAAUAUUGGCGAGAGACCGAUAGCGAACAAGUACCGUGAGGGAAAGAUGAAAAGAACUUUGAAAAGAGAGUUAAACAGUACGUGAAAUUGUCAAAAGGGAAGCGUUUGACACCAGUGUUGUUUUUCCGAAAAUCAAUUACGAAUGUUUUGUUUUUGAGGAGUUAUGACUUCAUCGGCUUGCUUCCUCUCUUUAUGAAACUUUCUUAAUGCACUUCUCGGUUAACAAGUCAACAUCAAUUUCUUUUGUUGUAAAAGGGUAUGAGGAAGGUGGCUUUCUUUUCGGAGAAAGUGUUUAUAGCCUUGUACCUCUGCAAUCGGAGAGAUUGAGGUCUAGCAGCGUAGAUCCUUCGGGGUUAGAUACAUUUGUGCUAAGUUAUAGCUUUUCAUAGACAACUUGUUGACUAUGUUAAGUCUUGUAGCUUACUCGCUUAUGCUAUUUUACCUACGCUUAGGAUGUUGAUCUCUCACAGUCGAGC
rnacentral:rRNA from 1 species